rnacentral:misc_RNA from 1 species
AACGCACAUUGCGCCCCCUGGCAUUCCGGGGGCAUGCCUGUCCGAGCGUCAUUGCUGCCCAUCAAGCCCGGCUUGUGUGUUGGGUCGUCGUCCCCCCCGGGGGACGGGCCCGAAAGGCAGCGGCGGCACCGUGUCCGGUCCUCGAGCGUAUGGGGCUUUGUCACCCGCUCGAUUAGGGCCGGCCGGGCGCCAGCCGACGUCUCCAACCAUUUUUUUCAGGUUGACCUCGGAUCAGGUAGGGAUACCCGCUGAACUUAA